GACGAACGCUGGCGGCGUGCCUAAUACAUGCAAGUUGAGCGCUGAAGGUUGGUACUUGUACCAACUGGAUGAGCAGCGAACGGGUGAGUAACGCGUGGGGCAUCUGCCUUUGAGCGGGGGACAACAUUUGGAAACGAAUGCUAAUACCGCAUAAAAACUUUAAACACAAGUUUUAAGUUUGAAAGAUGCAAUUGCAUCACUCAAAGAUGAUCCCGCGUUGUAUUAGCUAGUUGGUGAGGUAAAGGCUCACCAAGGCGAUGUUACAUAGCCGACCUGAGAGGGUGGUCGGCCACAUUGGGACUGUGACACGGCACAAACGCCUGGGGGAGGCAGCAGUAGGGAAUCGUCGGCAAUGGGCGAAAGUCUGACCGAGAAACGCCGCGUGAGUGAAGAAGGUUUUCGGGUCGGAAAACUCUGUUGGCAGAGAAGAACGUUGGUGAGAGUGGAAAGCUCAGCAAGUGACGGUAACUACCCAGAAAGGGACGGCUAACUACGUG
rnacentral:rRNA from 1 species